UACGUAGGGUGCGAGCGUUAAUCGGAAUUACUGGGCGUAAAGCGUGCGCAGGCGGUGAUGUAAGACAGUUGUGAAAUCCCCGGGCUCAACCUGGGAACUGCAUCUGUGACUGCAUCGCUGGAGUGCGGCAGAGGGGGAUGGAAUUCCGCGUGUAGCAGUGAAAUGCGUAGAUAUGUGGAGGAACACCUGUGGCGAAGGCGCCUUGCUGGCCAAUUUCUGACGCUGAGGCGCGAAAGCGUGGGGAGCAAACAGG
rnacentral:rRNA from 1 species